GACGAACGCUGGCGGCGUGCCUAAUACAUGCAAGUCGAGCGGACAGAAGGGAGCUUGCUCCCGGAAGUCAGCGGCGGACGGGUGAGUAACACGUGGGCAACCUGCCUGUAAGACUGGGAUAACUUCGGGAAACCGGAGCUAAUACCGGAUAGGUUCUUCCCCCGCAUGGGGGAAGCUGGAAAGACGGGUCCGGCUGUCACUUACAGAUGGUCCCGCGGCGCAUUAGCUAGUUGGUGGGGUAAUGGCCCACCAAGGCGACGAUGCGUAGCCGACCUGAGAGGGUGAUCGGCCACACUGGGACUGAGACACGGCCCAGACUCCUACGGGAGGCAGCAGUAGGGAAUCUUCCGCAAUGGACGAAAGUCUGACGGAGCAACGCCGCGUGAGCGAAGAAGGCCUUCGGGUCGUAAAGCUCUGUUCUCAGGGAAGAACAAGUGCCAGAGUGACUGCUGGCACCUUGACGGUACCUGACCAGAAAGCCACGGCUAACUACGUGCCAGCCGCCGCAGUAACAC
rnacentral:rRNA from 1 species